rnacentral:lncRNA from 1 species
CAAUCACAUUAUACUCAACAGAUGCUAUUCUCAUGAAUGAUGAAUUAGCUAAGCGUAGAUAUAAUCAUAGAUUCAUGGAAUCAUUCCUCACCAGACAAGUCUUUCACUCAAUCCCUCAGGUGUUUCAAGAGGUCACACCUUCCCUCUACUACCCACAUGUCACAUAGAACAAAAUUGCCUUUCAUUUACCACAAUCAAACAUCUUCACACACAUGUCAUCACAAGGACUUUUUCAUGGUUUAUAAUGAGGCUGGGCUAACAAGAAAAAUUGGUUUUUCUAUAUCACAAAAUCCUUGAGUUAAGAGAGUCAUUCAAACAUUUAUCAUUCAAGCACAAAAUCUCUUUUAUCAACCAAUCUCACUCAUUCUCAACUUUCCCUUAUUUGCAUUGAGCUUUUCUUUUCAUUCUAUCUUUUCUAUCUUUUUCAUCUUUUCAUGCUUUGCUCAACACAUUAGCUCAAUGCUUAUCUUUUCUUUUUCAAUUUUCCCAACA